UACGUAGGGGGCAAGCGUUGUUCGGAAUUACUGGGCGUAAAGGGCGCGUAGGCGGAUAUUUAAGUCAGGGGUGAAAGCCCGGGGCUCAACCUCGGAACUGCCUUUGAUACUGGAUAUCUUGAGUUCGGGAGAGGUGAGUGGAAUGCCGAGUGUAGAGGUGAAAUUCGUAGAUAUUCGGCGGAACACCAGUGGCGAAGGCGACUCACUGGCCCGAUACUGACGCUGAGGCGCGAAAGCGUGGGGAGCAAACAGG
rnacentral:rRNA from 1 species